rnacentral:lncRNA from 1 species
AGAAAAUGAUAUGGGGGCUGCUUUUCAUUAAAAGGAAAACCUUACCGAGGACUUCCUUACCCUCACUGUCUGCCUGUAUAAUUUAUUCUUAACUCUUAUAUCACUCCAAUCAGAUAAAUCCCACAAGAGAAGUGACUGAGAACGUGGAGGGAGGCCUGGUGCUUUACCCAUGUGGCUAGAGUGAGCAGCACCCUGGUUUGUCUAGGAAAGAGGUGGUUUCCAGGAGGCAGCACUUUCAGUUCUGAAACUUGGGCAGUCCCAGGCGAAUCCGGAGAAUUUGGUCACCCAGGUUAUGGAAAACCCUCCCCAUGAUGGGAAUGAUCAGAAAUGGGGAAAGAUAACUCUAGUCCUAGUUUUCCCUAUAUUUUAAUUCUCUGACACUGUAGUUCUCAAACUUCAGCUGCAUCGGCGUCCCCUGGGGCUCCUGUGAAAACACUGGUGUCUGGGCCAACCAUGGAGUGUCUGGGUGGGGCCUGGGGGUCUGCACUUCUAACAGUUUCCCAGGGACAGUGCAGUUGCUGGCCUGGAGCAUGCUCGGCUGAGGACCGCUGCUCUGAUGCGUGGAGAAGAAACAUGAAGUCCGCAGCUGCCCACAUUCAGGGAAGAUCUUUGAAAGCUCUUCAGACAGUGCCACCCAUCUUCAUGAAGCUGAUCCCCGGAUCUCACUCGCUUGUUUCUCCUCCUUCACCUGCUGAUGAUCAAUGUAGACUUUAGCCCUCAGAAGCUCUCAAAAGGUGGAGUCUUGCUCUGUCACCCAGGCUGGAGUGCAAGGGCGCGAUCUCAGCUCACUGCAAGCUCCGCCUCCCAGGUUCACGCCAUUCUCCUGCCUCAGCCACCCGAGUAGCUGGGACUACAGGGGCCCACCACCACGCCUGGCUAAUUUUUUUGUAUUUUUAGUAGAGACAGGGUUUCACCGUGUUAGCCAGGAUGGUCUCGAUAUCCUGACCUUGUGAUCCACCUUCCUCGGCCUCCCAAAGUGCUGGGAUUACAGGCGUGAGCCACUGAGCCCGGACAAUUUUCUCUUUUCUAAAGUUAAAUAAACAAGUUAGUUUAUUUUAUAAAUCGUGUUGCCUCCUGAGAAUCCCAUCCUUAGCUCAAACCAUGUUCUUUUCACUUCCCAAUGAUGAAGGUAACGAGAGAGCAUUGAGUAUUCUCCCCUU